GAUGAAGAACGCAGCGAAAUGCGAUACGUAAUGUGAAUUGCAGAAUUCAGUGAAUCAUCGAGUCUUUGAACGCACAUUGCGCCCCCUGGUAUUCCGGGGGGCAUGCCUGUCCGAGCGUCAUUGCUGCCCUCAAGCACGGCUUGUGUGUUGGGCCUCCGUCCUCCUCCCGGGGGACGGGCCCGAAAGGCAGCGGCGGCACCGCGUCCGGUCCUCGAGCGUAUGGGGCUUCGUCACCCGCUCUUGUAGGCCCGGCCGGCGCUUGCCGACACAUCAAUCUUUUUUCCAGGUUGACCUCGGAUCAGGUAGGGCUACCCGCUGAACUUAAGCAUAUCAAUAAGCGGAGGA
rnacentral:misc_RNA from 1 species